rnacentral:rRNA from 1 species
UACGAAGGGGGCUAGCGUUGCUCGGAAUCACUGGGCGUAAAGCGCACGUAGGCGGAUUGUUAAGUCAGGGGUGAAAUCCUGGAGCUCAACUCCAGAACUGCCUUUGAUACUGGCGAUCUUGAGUCCGGGAGAGGUGAGUGGAACUGCGAGUGUAGAGGUGAAAUUCGUAGAUAUUCGCAAGAACACCAGUGGCGAAGGCGGCUCACUGGCCCGGUACUGACGCUGAGGUGCGAAAGCGUGGG